UACAGGGGGUGCAAACGUUGCUCGGAAUCAUUGGGCGUAAAGCGCACGUAGGCGGUCUGUUAUGUCGGAUGUGAAAGCCCUCGGCUUAACUGAGGAAGUGCAUCCGAAACUGGCAGGCUAGAGUACUAAAGAGGGUCGCGGAAUUCCCGGUGUAGAGGUGAAAUUCGUAGAUAUCAGGAGGAACACCAAUAGCGAAGGCAGCUCGCUGGGACGUUACUGACACUGAGGCGCGAAAGCGUGGGGAGCGAACAGG
rnacentral:rRNA from 1 species